UACGUAGGGGGCUAGCGUUGUCCGGAAUCAUUGGGCGUAAAGAGCGUGUAGGCGGCCCGGUAAGUCCGCUGUGAAAGUCGGGGGCUCAACCCUCGAAUGCCGGUGGAUACUGUCGGGCUAGAGUGCGGAAGAGGCGAGUGGAAUUCCUGGUGUAGCGGUGAAAUGCGCAGAUAUCAGGAGGAACACCAAUGGCGAAGGCAGCUCGCUGGGACGGUACUGACGCUGGAGACGCGAAAGCGUGGGGAGCAAACAGG
rnacentral:rRNA from 1 species